rnacentral:misc_RNA from 1 species
AACGCAACUUGCGCCACCCUGUGGCAUGUCUGUUUGAGCACCAUAUGCCUCAUACCGCCUGCACUCGCGGCAGCAGCGGUGAAUUGUCCAGUCUUGUCGCUGGACCAAACGCGUCUACGUCACUGCGGUGGAUGGCAGGCUCCGAGCUAGGGACCAGCAGGUCUUGUCGGCGCUGCGUCCUCCCCGCACCAUCUUUGGUCUCAAGUCAGGCAAGACUACCCGCUGAACUUAA